UCCCUGGAGGACUAGUGGUUAGGCCACAGUUCUCUCUCCGCUGUGGCUUGGGUUCGAUUCCCGGCCAGGAAA
rnacentral:tRNA from 1 species